GAUUUAUCCCAGAAUGCAAAGGAAGCUGUGGAAUAGGCAUUGCUUCACACUCACAGCUGCCAGAGGUCAUAAAAAUAUCCCCCAGCCCUUCAUGUGACUCUCCAAAGGAGGUGCAAAGGAUGGCAAGACAAGAACAGGAUGGCUCCCCAUCUGUGGAAUACUUUUCUCAGGGAUGCACACCUGGCACCAUCAUUGUCGGUUCUUAGUUCUGGGCCAGUUGUCCACGAUAUAUCUCAGGACAUGGACUGAUGGCAGAUGAUGAAGCCACUUUGAUGAAGUUGUGACUGGAUAAGGAUCAUCUGAGAUUGUCAUGACAUCUGCUAUGAGUUCCAUGGUGGUAGAAAGGCAGAUU